rnacentral:tRNA from 1 species
GGUGGCUCAGUGGUAGAGCGCUAGCCUUGCAUGCAUGAGGCCCUGGGUUCAAUUCCUCAGCACCA